rnacentral:rRNA from 1 species
UGGGGAAUAUUGGACAAUGGGGGCAACCCUGAUCCAGCCAUGCCGCGUGAGUGAUGAAGGCCUUAGGGUUGUAAAGCUCUUCACCGGUGAAGAUAAUGACGGUAACCGGAGAAGAAGCCCCGGCUAACUUCGUGCCAGCAGCCGCGGUAAUACGAAGGGGGCUAGCGUUGUUCGGAAUUACUGGGCGUAAAGCGCACGUAGGCGGACCAUUAAGUCAGGGUGAAAUCCCGGAGCUCAACUCCGGAACUGCCUUUGAUACUGGUGGUCUAGAGACCGAGAGAGGUAAGUGGAACUCCUAGUGUAGAGGUGGAAUUCGUAGAUAUUAGGAAGAACACCAGUGGCGAAGGCGGCUUACUGGCUCGGAACUGACGCUGAGGUGCGAAAGCGUGGGGAGCAAACAGGAUUAGAUACCC